ACAGACAUGUCAAACAAGAAAGAACUAUCAAGCUAAUUAGAAAGAAUCUAGCAUAGAAAAAUUUAGAGCCACAAAGAAAGAGGCUCAGAUUCAGUACUUAGGUUCAGACUUAGUUUGAGAGAAUCCAGGGUCCCAUGAUAUUCCUAGUCCAAACAUAAGACCAAGCUCGCCAAAAAUCCCCAAAUCCUAUGGUAUUCAACUCGAAUCAGAUGUAGAGACGAGAGGGCAAAUACCUGAAACAGGCUCGGAAGUCUCUUUCAGAGACUCAUGAGAAAAAACAGGUAAAAUAGCAGGUUCGAAGCAACCAUAACGUAAGAGCUGAUUUGAAGCAUAAAGAACAUGUUUUUGAGAAAAUCUUGGAACUUAAACAAGAUAAGAGGACACAGAGGUAGUGUAAACUUAUGGAAACAGUAGAUAAAACAUGUCUAGAAAGAACUUCGAACAAAGUCCAGAAGAAGGAAAAUAAAGAACUUGUCACACUUAGUAGGAAAAUAUAGGAGAAGAACACAAGAACAUCAGAAAACUUAUAGCAAAAAAGCACACAUAGAAGAAUAUAGUAAGAUAGUCAUACAAGAGCAUGGUAAAAGAAAUAAUACAAGAACACAGUAGGAGCAAGUACACGUAAAGGAAAAGGAAAGUCAGCAAUCACUUAAACAUUUUAGAAAACCCUAGAUCGGAAAAUAAAGAUCUUAAAAAAAGUAAUUUUUGAAAUAAAAAUUGGGGAAAUCAUUUGAAAACUCAAGUGGAGCAUAGAUACGUGACAGAUCUAAGAAAAGAAAAUUAGAAAGAACCUCAAAUAGCCAUGGAUUGCAGAGAAAACCCUAGAAAUGAUAAAGGUCUUGAGGAAAGUUCGUUCCUGAGUCGAAAAGAAUCAAAUUGCUCGAAUAUGCCGGAGUAAUGGUCGGAGAAGCCAUAGAUCCAUAGAUAUGAGAAGAUCUAAAAGGGAUCCAUCAAGGUCAAGGCCUUGAUUCUUCAAAUAUUGGAUACACAGGAGUAAUAUAGAGUGAGUAUGAUGUUAUCAUGACCGGAAUAACCAUGAUUUCUGGUGAGCUUGAGGUAGGAGAUAUUGAGAUAGGGCUAGGGUUUCGAGUGGGUUUGAGAGAUUUUGAGAAAUGAGAGGUUUCAAAGGCAG
rnacentral:lncRNA from 1 species